UCAGCAGCACCUGUAUUGCCAUUUUGUAUCUGACGGACUGGUGAUCAGCAGCAGGAGCAUUGGGAAGAGCAUCUGAUAUUGGCUCUGAACCCCUUCAGGACCCACAAAGACCAUUUUGAGCUUUAGAGAGCAUGUACCUUCUGCCACACAGCAAAGAUUUAUUUUGUUCCAGUUUGCUUGAGCACUUCCUUGGAAGCUUUUCCAAGUUCUACUACAUCUUUUCCAGGAAAGAAGCAGCAUGUGAAUGUAUCUUAAGUUCCUCUCUUAAGUAUUCUUAGAUCUUUGCCAGUCUUUGUUGUUACCUGCUGUUUGCAUACCUUGGGGCCUGAACAGUUUUUCUGCCUUAGAGGCACAUCUUUCUUCAGUACCUUUACUUCUACUAGUCCCCUCUUGGCUUUGGAGAUGUGUAGCAGAGACCACUUCAGUGACCUGUAGCAGUGCUGAGUGCAGAGGAACAGGCCAGCACAUUUCUUAUUCUCAGUCAAGGACAGUUGAGUUUUGUAGCUUACAAGCCAGCCUUUAUGGUGCCAGAAUUGCAGUUUUCUCUCUUACCCUUUGAGGGGGUAAAUUGAGUCAUCCAGGAACUUGUGGUUUGAAUGCUUAAGGACAUGUUCCAUUCAAAGAAUUGGGUUUACAUAACUCUGCUUUCCAGUCAGAUGUUACAAGAUUAUGAAAUGAAAGCCCAGUUUUACUUUAAUUAGGGUGGAAAACCAAAGCUUAAGUGAAGAAUAUAGAACCUUAAAAUUACUUGGUUUUGUGCCUGCCAACACUGAGAGAAGGCCAUUUUACUGUAGGAAGUAGAGGCAGUUAGGAAAGACCGGUAAAUGUCAGUUUUGAUUAUUGAAGUAUGCAUCUGCUACCCCUCUGCAAGUGCUCUGGCCACAGGUUUUGGUUUGUACUGCGUCAAAUGUAGAAUUUAUUGCCUGGGAUACUUAAGAAGAUACUGAGGUGAUUGCACAUCUGAAGAGAAGUAAGGCAUUCAUGAUGCUCCCAUCUUCCUGAUAAACAUGUUUGUCUUAGCUAGCCCAGCAGGUAUGAAUACUACUCUGCGUGUGCAUGAACACGUGUGUGCUGACUCAACUGGAAUGUUGGCACAUGCUGCUGUAGGCCACAGGUUAACUGAUGUUAAGUCAGUCACAAGUGUUUGCCCUUGCAGUGUGUCAUGAAGUUCACUGACCUCCUAGUGCUCUUCUGUAUUGUGAAAAUAGCAAGGGCAAAUGGAUGGCUGAAAAAUUGCUAUAGCUGCACUUAAAUGAGUCCAUGGGGGGAACCUGUACAGGCUUUAAAUAACAUACAUACUACAGCCUAGCUCUAGGCAGGGCAUCAGACUGCUUCCUAAAACUCUUGACUACAGAAAAGCAACUCCUUGGUAAUUAACUUGUGCUGUCUUUUGCUUGUAGCAGUAGGAAUCUUUUGAAGCCAGAAAAAGUUUGGUCUGCGCCUUUGGCAGUUACUCCAGAGCUGCUCUAAGAGCUGAUUGUGCACUCCAGGAGAGCUGUGGCUGAUGGGUGAGUAUUGACCAUUGCACCCUGAGCUAAUGAAUGGGCAUCACUGUUCCAAUCACUUAGAGGGAGCGAGGAGAGUUGCUGGUUUUCCUUUAAUGUAGGAAAACAGCAUUUUAGUUGCUCAGAAAAGGGAGAGAAGACGCAGGUAAGAUUCUUAUCCUUCCUGCAGUCCACAAAAUCUCAGAAUGCUGCCUAGAACAUCCCAGUACCACACAGAUUUCCAAGUUUGUAAAUACAUCCCAAGAUGACACCAAAAACUUUCAGCUGUGGCAGCCAACCCAAGGUCAAGGGCAGUUUAACUUUCUGAAUAAUCCUUUUUACAUCAGAUGAAGAGAAAACCUGUAGUUUUCCAUUGUUACAACUUAAUUUUGCUACAUUCCACAAGUUUCUGGUGUUUAUUAGUGGAGUAAAGUAGCAAAUUAAUGUGGCAAGUUCCAAUUACUGCAAGUGUGGAUUAAGUUUGGAAUUAUUUCAGAUUUUGGUCAUCUCUGUAAUUAAUUUAAAAUUUAAUACUAAACUUGACUGAGGGUACCCAAAGGUUACACCUCGCUACAUUCCAGGAAAAAAAAACAACCCAACUUAUUCCUGACUUUUGAGAACUCAGUGAAUAAUACCCUUCUUAGUUUUGUUCCCCUAGAGGUAAUAUGGAAUAGAGAAGGACAAUACCCUGUGCUAUAAGGUGUAGCAAGGUCCACGUUAGCUUACUGUGCUGAAUGAAGACAUAAGGCUGAGUUACACCAUUACUACUUUCUCUUUAGCAGGUUAAGUGAGAGAGGUUUCUCUCUGUAAGCCAGGUAUAGACAGGAGCUCUCAGGCAGCAAAUUUCUGGGUUCCUGCAGGGCUAUAUUUUUAGUUUAUUCCAUCACACUUGUGAAAUAGUAAUGGCACCUUCCUUUCUGGGCAAGGAGGUGUAAGGAUAAAUCUGUGUCUGGCGCAGAUAUGAUGCUGAGGCAUGUAAAUGUAUCUUGACAAUUACCUGUUAGGAAGAAUACAUGGGCUUUAAAUGUUUCUGUCAGGACUUCUCUGCAUCACUUACACUUUCUCUUGCUAAGCUUGGUGCCUCUAUAUACUGCCUUCAUCUUGUACCUGCAACGAGACUGACCUCUGAGGUGCCAUCAGGACAGGAAUUAGCAUGCCCUCUACAGGAUGACCACCUACUAAUAAGAAGAAAGAUAAAGCAGAAAGAAUAAACCUUUGUGUUUUAGCAUUUUCUUUUCAUUGGGCUGCCUGAGGUAAACACUAGGCUCUCCCCUAGGUUUGUGCUGACAAAUGAAGACUGCACAAGAAUCACAGAACGGUCUGGGUUGCAAGGGACUUUAUCUAAUUUCAAUGUUCCUGCCAUGGGUAGAGACCCCUUCCACUAGACCUGGUUGCUCAAAGCCUCAUCCAACCUAGCCUUGAACACUGCCAGCGAACAAUGUCUCCUACUAGAUGUUGUGCCACUUUCUGUAGCCUCCUACACUAGCUGGUGUGUUCUACUCUCGCCUAGUUCUGACAAACUGUAUGUCAUGCCUGCAACACAUACUUAAGCGCUAAGGGUAAAAGCAGAUGGGAAAAGUUGUCCUAUUAUGUGACUCAACUGUAAAAAUGUAGUGUUCCUGUUUGUUUGAAUUGGUGAGAAUACGUUUAAGUUAAUAUUUUCCUAUUUCUAAACAAAGGGAGGGGUGGGGGAGUAAAGGGCCCAAAGCCUCUUUUGUUAAAUAGACUGAAACUGAAAUGCUGCAGGGAAAGAAGCUGCCAAACUGCCAUUUAUAGCCCUUGAAUACCCAGAGCCUAGGGAGAUGUCCUGCUGUUUAGUGCAUGAUCACUAACCUGAUGAAUAGCUAUUAUGCAGCAUUUGGUCAUGAAGUGCUUAAGGAAAUACAGACCCAGGUGUCUUUUGGUGGUUUGAAAGCAGAGCUGCUCAGAAAUAAGGCUAAAAGGUAUGAAUCAGCAGCCAGGGAUGUCCUGGUUACCUGCAGGAUUGUAGAAACCUCAGUAAGUCUCUGCCAGCCCCUUCAUUGUGCUGGAAAUUCUGUGGCAGCAGGUGCAUUUAACUUGGACAGCAGCGCUGCCAGGGCACAAAAGGCUCCUCCAUCCCCAGAAUAUGAGACGCUUUGCCUUUUUCUGUUACAGCUGGAAUGCAAAGAGAACACUGGACAACUACAUUAACUGAACAAAAGCCCUAUGCCUUUAACACUGCACGUGUAGGUUAUGCAUACAGCAACUGAAAGAAAGUGGCAUUUUUACUAUAAUGAAUCUUGUUUCUCUGGAAGUAAGCAACAUACUCACUAAUCCAGCUGGAUAUAAAAUCAUUUCACAAGGAUCUUUUUUCAUUACAACAACUACUGCUCUUAACAAUUCUCAAAGUUUCUCUUGAUUUAUUUUCUCAGGAAUGACGCCCAGGUUACUGAAGCCUAGGCAAGGCCAAGAACAACACUGAAUCUCCAUCUAUGAGCCAAGAAAACUGCCUGCAAGUGAGUGACCAUGGUAUGAUACUGCUCUUUGCUUUUUCAUCCUGAAAUCAGAUACCUGUUCUGCAUCCUUAGUAAGGCCAACAUCUAUUUCUUUUUGAGACAAAUACUUGAGCAAUUUUCAUUUAUUAAGUGAGCCUGAAAUAUGAAGAAGUCAGCAGCAGCUGUCUUCUGUGCAAGAUCCACAAAAGGAGUGCCUGGCUGCAGGACAGUAUCUGAGCUGAAGGUACGAUGUGGGCUCAAGUGUGAGUAGGACAGUGGUCAUCACAUUAGAGUUCAGUAUUAGUUUUCUAAACAACCAUCUUAAAAUAAGUAAGUGACGUGAUGCAAUCCAUUCAUGUUGCAAAGCAGCAGAACCUCUCUUACCCUUCAAGAUUAAUCUAAAGAGGCAAUAUGUGUACAAGCACAUUUUUGGAUAGGUGUGAAGGUUCAUUCUUGACUGAACAGUUUUCUAUAGGGUGUAAACUGGAAAUGUUAAACCAGGAUGGACUUACUGUGGUGUUUCUUUUUUCUUUCUAGAAAUAUUUACAGAAUUUCCACAUAGGGUAUAAGUUUCCACAUUAGGGUGCUGGCAGCACUACCAGUGUUUGAACAGGGCAGACAAAGGCCAUUGGCGAGGCAGUGACUGAACCUGCCUGAUGACUCACUGCCUUCUCACAACCUCUGCUUUUCUGUUAAUAGAGGACCUCCACAACUGAAGAUGCUCAAAACUCAAUGGGACAAGACAUGGCUGACCUCAUGUAAUGUACUACUGGCCCUGCUCUGAGGAGGAAGUUGGACACCAGCAUGUCAGGCCUGGGAGAUCAUUGACUAGUUUAUCUUUUGAAACUUAUCCCCAGUACAUCCAAGGACAGUACAUACUGAUUUACCAUCAGUAAAUGGCAGACGUCUGGUUUUAGAAAAGGGAGGCAGUAUAAUCAGUACUGUAAUGCAGGGCUACUGAUUCAAAUGGUCCAUUUUCCCCCUCUCCUCUAGGCCUUAGCAAAUAUCUGUGAUGAGCAAGUUGUGCUGCAGGAAAAUAUUUCUGAAACAGAGAAGCAGCGGGGGCACUGUGUGUAGGAAACUCUUGAUGUAUGGACAGCCCAAGGCGAGGUGGGAGAACUGAAUAAAAUGCAUUUUAAAUAAA